AGUGAGAGAGCAGCUGAGGCACUGACACGCGCUGUGACAAUUUGCAUGCGGAGAGUUUUGCUGUGGGUGCUUCAGACACGAACAUUGGGAUGGAUAAAGCAAAACCCCCUCCCGUGUCCUUUGCUCUCCUGCAGCAUCGGCACUCCGGUGUCCUCCAUCAAGAGCAGCUCUGCGUGUUCCCCCUCUUACUUUGGGGGAACUAAAAUUUAAUAAUUUUAAUAAUUUUGCCUCUCUCUGCAGGCUCAGAGGUUGGCCACAACCAAGACAAGACCCUGAGCUAGGUGGGCACCUGGUUGAUGGGCUUGUUCCUAUCACAGAAUCAUAGAAUUGCAGAAUGGUUUGGGUUGGAAGGGAACUUAGAAGUCAUCUAAGGAAUUUUUAAUUUUAAUUUAUUUAGAAAAAAAAAAAAUGUGCAGAUGCUGAUGGGGAUGUUCCCAAGGGUGGAAGGAAGGCUCUGCGGGAACAUCCAUCCCAGCAGCAUCUCGCUGGGGACCUCAGGGUUUGCAGGAUGAGGCCAGACCCGAAGGGAAAGCAAACUGCUGGAGGCCGGGCUGGGUUUUGGUGCCACCUCGUGGUCCGGGAAGGUUUUAUAAAGUGCAGGAGGAAUUUGUGCAGAAAACUACAGAAAAAAAAAGUGCUGGAGGGCAUCACAAAAAGGCUCAUCUUGGGACAGGUCUCAUCGCUGGGGGAUGAUUGCUGUCAUCCCAAACCAGGGAUGCUUGGGAAUGGCUCCCCUAGGGAGGUGGGACAAUCAGCUGCUUCUCAUCCCAUCUCCUGGAUGGGAUGGAGCCGCAGGAUCCUUCUCUGGCUCUCCAGGAGGGAUCGGACCAAGUCCCAGCUCUCUUGGUGUCACGGCUUCUAGCAAGGAUUGACCCCAGAAGAAAUUGGUGGGAGCAUCUCCAGUGCCCGCUGGCUGCUAAGCAAGGAGCCCUGCUUCAGUGCAGCACAGAAAGGAGAAAAAAAUAAAUAAAACACACCAGAAAAUAAAUAAAUAAAUAAAUAAAUAAAUAAACAUGCCAGGGACAUGUGCAUCAGGAGUGAAUAGGAAGCUGAGCACCAUAAAAUUUCCAUGGCAGGAGGACUGAACCCUUGCUCCAGCCCAUCUCCGACUGAUCCUGGAAAUCUCCGGCUGGAAACAAGGACGGUGAAGGUUUGGGAGGCCUCGUGCACGAUGAGCCCAGCUGGCUGUGCACACAAAGGUGCUGAAAAGAAAAGAUAGGCAGAGCAGGAGCUAAUGAGGAGCGGCUUUAUGGUGGGAUUAGCCAGGGGAGCCAGGAGAGCAUCUCGUGACAGCCACAGUGGCACAGGGGAAGCAGGCAGCUGUGGGUUCAUCCCCAAGGUCUCACCGUCCCCACUGCUUCCCAAAGCGCUUCCCAGCCAAAUAUCUGAAAAAUUCAGCAGGAGGAGGGCAGCAGGUUCGGCUUGGAAAGAGCAGACGGAGAAGGUGAACGUGUUUUGUGCUAAUUGCAGUAGAAUGAGAUGCGCGUGUUUAAAGCGGGGCUUCAGGGUAGAAUGACUCUGGACUGGGGUUUUGGAGAAGUCUUGUUUUUUGAGGAGGAAAGUCAUAAAUUGGGGUGUUUCCUAGAUGAUUAGGCAGCAAUUCAGCUAGACUGAAAUGGGUUGUUAGCCGUAGGCUGCUGGAACUGGACCAGCAAUGUGCAUGGUGGACAGGGCCUGUGGCACUUUGGCCCCAUGUGUCCUCCAAGAGCCUGUAGGCCUCACCUGAGGGGCAAGUGGUGGCCACAUUUCACAGGCCUGAGUCUUUCCAGCGUCAAGUGAGGUCCUAACCCUGAACCCACACCCACCCAAGGGACAAACACUAAAAAAGUGGGGAUCUUCUUCUGGGAAUGGCUAUGUCAGGGCCUGGCACUCCUAAUGUCACCCCCAUGGCUUGGAGCAUCUUCCUCCCUGCCAGGAUGUCAAGCGGCACGUCCCAAGGUGAGCAGAGCCUGAAUAAAAAUUAUCCCCGCUCCGAAAAGGAAAGCCAGGAGUGGUAUUUAUGCACAAACAUCUCAGGCGAACAGCCCUGACCUCCUCCUCCUCCUUCCGCCCCGAAGGCGGCUUAUUUUUGCUUAUCUCCGCAUCCCUGGGGUAGCCCUCUGAGGAGAUAUUCUGGGAGCCCGCUGCUGUUGUUUCCUCCGAGCACCAUUUCCUCCAGCACAGGGUCAGCACCACCACCCUCUCCUGAUGGGGGCCCCAUGGGUCGCCCGUGGUCCCCGGGGAGGCCUGGGGCUAUCUCCAGGAGGACACCAGCCGGAGGAGGAAGCCAAUGGUCCAGGAGCCGGGGUGGCUGGAGGGUGCUGGGCGAGGAAGCAAAACAGGAAGGUGGUGGGAGAUAAGGAGAAGAAGCUGGAAGAGGAAUAUAGGGGAAUAAUGGAGGGAAGGAUGGAAAUGAAAAUUCUCUUACUGCAGACAGAAAGGAAGCCACCAAGACAAAGGCAGAGCAAAAAAAGUCUUUUGUCUUGCUCAAAAGUCUCAUGGACUUUUGGGAGUGUGUUAGGUCUAAGACCUCUUUGCUCCAGGAGAGCUUGUUGGGAAUGGUCUCUGGCAUGUACUGAUGGACAAAUUGUGACCAAGGUUUGUUUGGCGCAGUGGUCCUUGGUUGGGGUUGAAAGCAAGGGCCUAGUACUUAAAGAGUGUGGACAAAGAUGCUUGUAGUUGUAGAUCACUUUAGAUCAUCCCUCCUUAGUAGGAGGGAUGAUCUGGGUCCCAUCUCUCUGGAGCAGGAAGGGACAUCAUGUGGUGACAACAUCUGGGUGAUGGUAGCCAAACUACAUCUCCAGGCAUGGCUUGGGAAGCUUUGAGAAGAGGGGAUGAGGGAAGAGGUUGGCCACAGCUCUCCAGUUCGUAUCAGCAGAGCGGGUUGGACCAUAGACACGUGGUGGUGAGCCCAGUCAAACCAUGUGGAGAAGGCAAUCAUGGAAUCCCAGGGGCUGUGUGAUCCCUCAACAUCCAUCUGUGUGUCUCCAAGCAAGCUCUAGGGAUGGUACUUUGUGUACUCAUCUGAUGGGUCUGCAGGUGGACAUGACAUGGAAAACGGAGAUGAGGUGGUGGUGCCUGGGAUGGGAAAGGACAAACUCCCCUGUGGCCUCCUAGGUGGUAAAAUACCUCCAAAAAGAAAAUCUGGGAAACUCAACACAUGAAAACAGGCCUCCAGCUUGCCUUAACAGAGACACUGUGGGUCUAGGAGAGAGCUCAGGAACCCAGCAGCCACCAGCUCCACCACGGACAUUUCCACACCCCCAUUUCCCUACCUGCAAGGCUGGAGACCCUGAAGUUGAAGACACGAGAGAUGGAGGGAGAAGAGAAGACAGGGAGGAGGGGAUGGCGGUGGCCAGGCUGUCCUCCUCAGGGCACCGAGGAGGUUAGUUUUGUGAAUGGAAAUUUUACCGCUGCCUCCCAGCCUGGGGCUGUUAUCUCUGCUGCUAUUUCGGUCAGCAAGAAGCAGGCAAGCCCGUGCCAGACCCGGGAGAGAAGCAACGGGAGAGGGUGGGGAGCUGGGGCAGCUCCUCUGUCGUCAGAAGACGCCGGCUCCAGCCAAGGUCUGCGCCGGUCCGGAGAUAGCGGGGUCCUCUGGAGACGGGGCUCGCCCCGGGGUCGUUGAGCUAAGUGGGAUCGGUGACAGGCUGCACAUUAGGGCUGAUAAGGGCCGGAUAACGGUAGCCAAACUCCCACGGCCUCUGCAGGCAUGGCCGGGCACCCUGGGGACCGGUGGAGGGGGAGGCUCAGGGUGACAGGGUGACCCCCUCCCCGAUCCGUCUUCUCCUGGAACGGCGAUUGGGAGGGAAAUGGGUUCACAUCCCCCCCCAGAGAAGGAAAGUUGCAUGACGGGUAAACUGAGGCAGAUAAGCUUGCAGAGCCGUUCAGAGGAACGAAGUCCAGCCCUCCAUGUGACGGAUCACAUGCCAUAGGAACAGCUCUACCCCACAGCUGAACAAGCGCCAAAACCUAAAAUAAGAUUAUUUCCCACAGCGAGCCUUUAUUGACCUCCUGUUUGCCACGGCAUGGGCUCAGGAAGGCUCAGCCCGGGACAAAACCCAAAUUUUUGAUUCAGCAGUUGUGUCGCUGCCUGGAGGAUGCAUCAGCAGCGGGGAUGUUUUGGCAUCAGCAUCGGAUGCACCAUGAAAGUUAGACGUUACCGGUAAUUGUUUUACUCCGUGUGUUUGUUGGUUUUGGGGCUAAAGGAGUCCGAAGUCCCAGGAUUUCUCAAGGAGGAUGAGCCACUGGGGGAAGCCUCCUGUCCUCAUACAAGUGAUUUCUAGAGGUGAUCAUGGAGAGGGGAAGAAAGAAAAGGAACGGAGGAAGGCAAUGCGUGCUCAGCUCCCCGGUGUUUAACCUCGUGAGUGCAAAGGACAGUCCCAGGAACAGGGAGCAGGGCUGCCAGCUCGGUAACAUGACCCCUGGGGACAGCUUGCUGCUCACACAGACCCACGUGCACGGCAGGUUGAAAAAUAUCGGCUUUUCAAGGAAAAAGGAUUGCUUUUUUUGCUCCCUGUGA